ACGGCCAUACCAUGUUGAAAACACCAGUUCUCGUCCGAUCACCGAAGUUAAGCAACGUUGGGCGUGGUUAGUACUCGUAGCAUGGGUGACCGCUUGGGAACACCACGUGCUGUUG
rnacentral:rRNA from 1 species